CCUCCCGUUGGCCAAAGCGAAGAGUCCCCGCCUGGGCGCUCCUCCCGCCGCCCAGCCCUCCCCCUCCGGUGGCUCAUAAAAUCCCCGAGGUAGAGGCAGGUCAGCUUUCCCAGCCCCCGAGCUCGCAAAGGCGACCCAGGGACAGGUGAACUCCGGCAGGGGCACGGAGAAAGGCUCGGCCGAGGGCGGAGGAGGCUGAGCUAAACCGGGGGUGCUACAGAUGCUGGGAGAAGAUAAACAUUCGUAAUAAUUCUCCAACUGUGCUGAAGUCAGAAAUCAACGGGCAUAUUCAGUCUGGAGGAAUCUCCCAGGGUACCAGUAGAAUACAUUAACAGUGUAUUUCUCCAGCAAGAAGUGAUGGGAAGAGCACAGAGCAAAAACAAGGUAAGGCAGUUAAAAACAACCUAUACUUUUAGACCCAAGGCUUCCACAGAAACCUCUGGAGAUAAUGUUUUAGAAGUCCAACUUGGACUCCUGUUACUUAAAACUGUCCACAAUAUUUUUCUCUGGACCAAUUUGCUGUCCUGAUGAUUAAUGUAGCUAAUGACUGCUGCCUUUUCCUUUAUCAGCAGGUUUGUUGUGUUUUUGUUGGUGUUUUUUUGUUUGUUUGUUUUGUUUUCUUUGUUAAUACAAGCAGAGAGAAGCAGAGAGAAGAUGAAGAAAUAAUCUCUCGAAGGAUGCAGUAAUACUACUAAACCUAACUAAAAAGAACUCAGCCAUACACAUAAUCCUCAGGAAAAUUCAUCUCCACCCUCCCAGCAGACUCUGGUGAGAGCCCUUGAAGCGGUAAUUAAAGUCUAUUGAGUGGCAACUGCACCUGUUUAGAAAGGCGAGUGUGGGUAAGAGGUACACAAAGGGAGAUGAGCAGCAGAGAGGGAGUGUGAGAGGAGCAGCUGGAGGUGGAGAAGAAGGGAAGUGGAAAGAGGAGAAAAUGUAUUUGUUGGAGAAGUCAAUCCAAUGAGAUGUGCAUUUUCCAUUCUUCCCUUUAUUAGCUUUCUGCCUGCCCUUCUGUACCCCUUCACACAUGCAGCUGGCUUCUACCCACUCUCACACCCACUGAUGAAAACUGCAGGGGAGAUUUCCCCAGUUAGCUGGAGCACUGGACCAGCUGCUCCUCUAGUGUAAAUCAACAGAGUCCCACUGAAGUCCUUGUGGAUUUACAAUCAGCUCAUGCUCAUUUACACCAGCUGAAGAUCUGUGCCAGUGACACUCAUUAACAGUCACUGGGCUACUCAGACUAGCAGCUGGGACAUGCUAGUUCUUGUCUGCUGGGCUCUCUUUCUCUCUAGAAUAGAGCUUGUCCUUUUGUGUUAGCUUUGUUACCCAAGUGUAAAUCCUGUAGCAUCUGGGAUGAAUAAAUCAGUGAUGUAUCUAGAUUUCAGCAGAUAUGGCUGAGAGCAAGAGUCUAGGCAGAAAAUGACUGAAAUGGAGGAAACCAGUGCAGUGCUUAUGGGCAAGACAAUGUGCAUAUAACAUUGCUAUUUUUGCACAUGUAGCUCCCAGAUGUUCUGUAUCACAUUCAGAUGGUCCUAGAUUGUAUCUGUGAAGCCAUGCAAAAUGAACUUACUCUUAAAUACAGCUGGUAAUAGUAGAGUUUUUCAUGACCUUGCAGACUACUACUGAUCCAAGGACCACUGGUGUGGAACCUCUGUUUUGCCCAGAGAAUUUACACUUCAUACCAUGCUUGCAGGCCAAAAUCUGUGAUGUGUAGUGAUGUAAUGUGGAAGUUCUGGCAGUUUAUUGAAAGUGGUGCACAGAGCAGUGCUGACUUAUCUCACCAGAUAACUUAAUACUGGCUUGCUAAUGGCAGAAAUCAGCAGGUUAUGUAAUAAAACAAUGGAGAAAAGAUGAACACAAAAAGUGGCAGAGAAGUCAUCCAAUGUUUGAGAAGAACAGUAAGAAAAAGAGGUCAUUCUUUAGUACAGAAAUCUGGACUGCCCUAGCAAUCAAGGAGACAAAGACUAGAGUUGUAUAGUGACAUACAUGCAUGGUCCAAGAGAUUUGCUAUCCUGAAACCCGUGGAUUGAUAACAAAUCCUAGUUCCUUUGCCAUAAUCUCAACUUCAUCUUUGAUGUCAUUAAACAGGGUUUCAUCUUGUUUGCCCUAGAGGGCAUUUCAGAUGAAGCUAGAAAGACAUAGCACAUCGCCUCUGUAUAAUUAAUCAAAGGCUCUGACAACAGAAUUAUUUCUUACACUCAACCUAUGCACACACACUAUUGAAGCCUACUCAUUUAAUUCCCUUUAUCCAACCUAAAGAAGGCUUUCUGUGUUACUAUGCAUUUGCAAUGGGCUACAUUAAUAAGAACUAUCCCUUUUCACCGUAAUUCUGUAUGUGCCCCAGCAAUAAACUGCACUAAACUAGAAUUUCCAGGAUGAGAGCAACCUGUUGUUGAGCCGAGAAAAAUGAUUCAGGCAGAAUAAUUUGACUGGUGUUUGCAAAAUUUUCUCUCUUGCUGGACUUGGUGGUAGACAGUCCCUUGUGAAUCCCUUCAUUCUGUUCAGGCUGGCUCGGAUGAUUGAAAUAAGCCACAGGACUUUCUUCCUGAUCCCCAGUUUUCAGAGCACAUACACAUCAAUGCUGGUGCAAAGUUGUUGCACCCGCUUUCUGCAAGUGUUAGCGAUGUCUCUUUAGCAUGUAGUCCUGGAGGCUGUACCAAGAACUGCGUCCUUGUGAAUGAAAUGAGCAUUCAGCAAAAGCCAAUUCCUCUGUCUGUUAAGGGUGAGAUUUACAAUUAAUUGGAAGUAUGGUCCAUCCAACUCGCUGAAGCUCAGCUACAGCUGAGACAGACAGAUAUGUCUGAACAAGAAAGCAGCCUACCAAGCAUUGUCUUAGGGUGAGAUUGAUUUUUGCACUGGCUGCAAAGGAAACCUAUGUAACUCACUCAACACCAAAUGCCUAACUAAUAAGUUACAGUCACGUGAGAAGAAUCAUACCCCAUAUACCUCUCCUAAAUUCUAGUCUUCUACAAAAUCAUCAGAUAGGUAAACAUCAUGUGAUAUACUGCCUUAUUUCUAUAUUUUUGCUCUUGAAUACUCUUCUCUCUCUCUUUUUUCCUUCUAGCCCUCCUGUUCCUCAGCCUUUUUCCUUUUCUGCCUUCCCUCUCGUUACUGAGUAACCUUUUGACUUUUCCAUCAAUAAGUCUAAAGAGCAUUUGAACCAUUCUGUUCCCCCCCAUCUCUCCUCCCUCCAGUUCCAAGUCAGGCAAACACAUCGAUCAGAAGAGGUCAGGAAAUAUCUGGUGUUUUGUUGUCAGGAUGAUAAUAACAUUGCAGUUGUGAAUGGGCUGCUGCAGGUCUGAUCAUGGACACCUGCAGGGUUUGUUUAAUUGCAUUUAAUGACAAAUCCUAUACAGAGGAGCAUUGCCAGAGAGAUUUAUUAUCCACCAAAGAGGCAAAGCACAACAGCUCAAAAUAUAAUUUGCACU